rnacentral:lncRNA from 1 species
CCCAUAUAUCGGAAAAGCUCUUUUUAACUUAUUAUAACCUACUUUUUAGAAAUAUAUUAAUAUACCUUUAUUUAUAGUCUAUGCUGAAUUUAUAUUCUUGGGAUGUUUUAUUCUUGAAAUAUUGAUUCGAUUGUAUGCCCUUGGUCCAAGGACUUAUUUUAGUACUACUUUUUAAUGUAUUUGACUGCUUUGUGAUAGUUGGAUCGAUCGUGGAGGUGAUUUGGGUUCAUUUCAAAGAUAAAGGAGGAAGUUUCGGCCUUUCUGCACUUCGUGCUCUUAGACUUUUAAGAGUAUUUAAAGUAACAAAGUACUGGUCGUCAUUACGUAAUCUGGUGAUUGCUUUGAUGAAUGCUAUUUCGUCAAUAGUUUCACUUUUGUUUCUACUAUUUCUAUUCAUAUUUAUUUUUGCAUUACUGGGAAUGCAAAUUUUUGGUGGAUCUUUCAAUUUUUCUACAGGAACACCAACAUCUAAUUUUUAAUACAAUUACAAGUGCAUUACUCACUGUUUUCCAAGUACUUACUGGAGAAGAUUGGAACCAAGUAAUGUACACAGCAAUUGAUUCGAAAGGGGGUAGAAAAGGAGGUGGAAUGGUCUAUAGUCUUUAUUUUGUUAUGCUUACACUGUGUGGAGAUUACACUCUAUUAAA